rnacentral:pre_miRNA from 1 species
ACAUGGAGAAGAACACCCAAAAUAGCUGAACAUCGCAUUCAGUUUACUUGAGUGUUCUCCUCUGGGGC